rnacentral:piRNA from 1 species
UUUGAUUGCUUGGUGUAUUCACCUCCUACC